GUGGAUUAGAUACCCUAGUAGUCCACGCCGUAAACGAUGGGCACUAGGUGUGGGGGGUGUCGACUCCCUCCGUGCCGAAGCUAACGCAUUAAGUGCCCCGCCUGGGGAGUACGGCCGCAAGGCUAAAACUCAAAGGAAUUGACGGGGGCCCGCACAAGCAGCGGAGCAUGUGGUUUAAUUCGACGCAACGCGAAGAACCUUACCUGGGCUUGACAUGUGCCUGACAGCUCUGGAAACAGAGUCUCCCUUCGGGGCAGGUACACAGGUGGUGCAUGGUUGUCGACAGCU
rnacentral:rRNA from 1 species